rnacentral:rRNA from 1 species
AGAGUUUGAUCCUGGCUCAGAAUCAACGCUGGCGGCGUGCCUAACACAUGCAAGUCGAACGCGAAAGCCCCGCAAGGGGUGAGUAGAGUGGCAAACGGGUGAGUAACACGUGGGUGAUCUGCCUCGGAGUGGGGGAUAACGACCCGAAAGGGUCGCUAAUACCGCAUGACAUCCUGCCUUUGGAUAGGUGGAGAUCAAAGCCGGGGAUCGCAAGACCUGGCGCUUGGAGAGGAGCCCGCGGCCGAUUAGCUAGUUGGUGAGGUAACGGCUCACCAAGGCGACGAUCGGUAUCCGGCCUGAGAGGGCGGACGGACACACUGGGACUGAGACACGGCCCAGACUCCUACGGGAGGCAGCAGUGGGGAAUUGUUCGCAAUGGGCGCAAGCCUGACGACGCAACGCCGCGUGGAGGACGAAGAUUUUCGGAUCGUAAACUCCUUUCGAUCGGGAAGAACGGCUGCCGGGUGAAUAAUCCGGCAGAGUGACGGUACCGA